GCUCACUGAAAAUGACCUCAGAUGUCACAGUGGUCUGAGGUCAGAUAUCUGAGCCCAAAGUAUUGUGGUGCAUUAAGCUUAUCUCCUGCUCAGCCAUUGGCAGAGCGAUAAAACCCUUGUACCCACAAAA